rnacentral:rRNA from 1 species
UACGUAGGGGGCUAGCGUUGUCCGGAAUCAUUGGGCGUAAAGCGCGUGUAGGCGGCCCGGUAAGUCCGCUGUGAAAGUCGGGGGCUCAACCCUCGGAUGCCGGUGGAUACUGUCGGGCUUGAGUACGGAAGAGGCGAGUGGAAUUCCUGGUGUAGCGGUGAAAUGCGCAGAUAUCAGGAGGAACACCAAUUGCGAAGGCAGCUCGCUGGGACGUUACUGACGCUGAGGAGCGAAAGCGUGGGGAGCGAACAGG